GUGCGGGGUUUUCUGCGUUUACCCUCCUCGUUUGCCUCUCCCCGUUUACCCCUGCUUUUCUAGCCGACCAGUUUCGUCUCAUAGGCCAGGAUGACCGCCUGGACACGGUCCCUCGA
rnacentral:rRNA from 1 species